rnacentral:antisense_RNA from 1 species
UGUGAACUGACAAGCCCAUGGAUGUCUACAAAGAGUGAACUGAUCACUGUGGGCUGGCCUUUGAGGCAUCAGUGAGGCAUUGUGGCUCUGGAGACCUGGAAGCACUGCUAACUGUUCUCUCGAUUUUCUGACGCUUGGCCACAUCAACCUGUCAUGCUAGUUGUGAGGAGAAGUCAAGGACAGUGACACAGCCAGCCAGUCUGAGGCAUUUUCCAUCAUCCUGAAGGAGUUGCCCUAUCCUGCUUUUCACUGGAGGGGGCAUAGAUGGGGAUCCUGGAUGACAAAGCAGUCACCUACUUGAACACUGCUAAUUAUGACGUCAGAAAGAGGAAAGUUUGCAGAGUUUUGUAUUGGCAAUCAAACAUUCAGCCACAGGUCACAGUCUAGAACCAGACACAUCAGUGUCCUCAACUGCAAAGUAGCCAGGAAGCAGCAUCCCAUAACACAGUCCUAUGUCCACUGUUUUGGAGUUACUCAAGACCUAAGUGUUUUCUUGGAACUGUGUUUGUUACUGAGGAAGCCACAAAUUAAAUGUAAGUCUGCUCUUCAAGAGGUUACAUUCCAGUUAAGGAGAUCGCAUAUCCAUACUUCCAGAAGUACCAAUGUGAUUGAAGCAAGGGAAAUUGCUAUGGAAUAUCUGGCCAACUGGAUAUUCUGCUGGAAGAGCAGAAUGCACUUCAAAGACUAGCCAAUAAAACUCUCAUGGGCUCUUGACACACUGACCUCUGUCAGUUCCUUCAGCACACCAAGCUAAUCCCCAGUCUUGC